rnacentral:rRNA from 1 species
UACGUAGGGUGCGAGCGUUGUCCGGAUUUAUUGGGCGUAAAGGGCUCGUAGGCGGCUUGUCGCGUCGGGAGUGAAAGCCCGGGGCUUAACUCCGGGUCUGCAUUCGAUACGGGCAGGCUAGAGUUCGGUAGGGGAGAUCGGAAUUCCUGGUGUAGCGGUGAAAUGACGCAGAUAUCAGGAGGAACACCGGUGGCGAAGGCGGAUCUCUGGGCCGUAACUGACGCUGAGGAGCGAAAGCAUGGGGAGCGAACAGG